GUUCCAGGCCAUAGCAACCACUGUUUUCUGCACUAACACCCUGAAUAUGACUGAUGUCACUCAUCUCUGACUAGGCUGGGUCAGGCCUGGUCAGUACUUGGAUGGGAGACAGUCUGGGAAUGUCAGGUGCUUUUGCUA
ensembl:rRNA 5S_rRNA 5S ribosomal RNA